UUUUAUGGAGAGUUUGAUCCUGGCUCAGGAUGAACGCUGGCGGCGUGCCUAAUACAUGCAAGUCGAGCGAACAGACAAGGAGCUUGCUCCUUUGACGUUAGCGGCGGACGGGUGAGUAACACGUGGGUAACCUACCUAUAAGACUGGGAUAACUUCGGGAAACCGGAGCUAAUACCGGAUAAUAUUUCGAACCGCAUGGUUCGAUAGUGAAAGAUGGUUUUGCUAUCACUUAUAGAUGGACCCGCGCCGUAUUAGCUAGUUGGUAAGGUAACGGCUUACCAAGGCGACGAUACGUAGCCGACCUGAGAGGGUGAUCGGCCACACUGGAACUGAGACACGGUCCAGACUCCUACGGGAGGCAGCAGUAGGGAAUCUUCCGCAAUGGGCGAAAGCCUGACGGAGCAACGCCGCGUGAGUGAUGAAGGUCUUCGGAUCGUAAAACUCUGUUAUUAGGGAAGAACAUACGUGUAAGUAACUAUGCACGUCUUGACGGUACCUAAUCAGAAAGCCACGGCUAACUACGUGCCAGCAGCCGCGGUAAUACGUAGGUGGCAAGCGUUAUCCGGAAUUAUUGGGCGUAAAGCGCGCGUAGGCGGUUUUUUAAGUCUGAUGUGAAAGCCCACGGCUCAACCGUGGAGGGUCAUUGGAAACUGGAAAACUUGAGUGCAGAAGAGGAAAGUGGAAUUCCAUGUGUAGCGGUGAAAUGCGCAGAGAUAUGGAGGAACACCAGUGGCGAAGGCGACUUUCUGGUCUGUAACUGACGCUGAUGUGCGAAAGCGUGGGGAUCAAACAGGAUUAGAUACCCUGGUAGUCCACGCCGUAAACGAUGAGUGCUAAGUGUUAGGGGGUUUCCGCCCCUUAGUGCUGCAGCUAACGCAUUAAGCACUCCGCCUGGGGAGUACGACCGCAAGGUUGAAACUCAAAGGAAUUGACGGGGACCCGCACAAGCGGUGGAGCAUGUGGUUUAAUUCGAAGCAACGCGAAGAACCUUACCAAAUCUUGACAUCCUUUGACAACUCUAGAGAUAGAGCCUUCCCCUUCGGGGGACAAAGUGACAGGUGGUGCAUGGUUGUCGUCAGCUCGUGUCGUGAGAUGUUGGGUUAAGUCCCGCAACGAGCGCAACCCUUAAGCUUAGUUGCCAUCAUUAAGUUGGGCACUCUAAGUUGACUGCCGGUGACAAACCGGAGGAAGGUGGGGAUGACGUCAAAUCAUCAUGCCCCUUAUGAUUUGGGCUACACACGUGCUACAAUGGACAAUACAAAGGGCAGCGAAACCGCGAGGUCAAGCAAAUCCCAUAAAAUUGUUCUCAGUUCGGAUUGUAGUCUGCAACUCGACUACAUGAAGCUGGAAUCGCUAGUAAUCGUAGAUCAGCAUGCUACGGUGAAUACGUUCCCGGGUCUUGUACACACCGCCCGUCACACCACGAGAGUUUGUAACACCCGAAGCCGGUGGAGUAACCAUUUGGAGCUAGCCGUCGAAGGUGGGACAAAUGAUUGGGGUGAAGUCGUAACAAGGUAGCCGUAUCGGAAGGUGCGGCUGGAUCACCUCCUUUCUAA
rnacentral:rRNA from 1 species